ACAGUGCUGAUUGGAAGGAGACCAGAGAACCUCAGUCAGCUUUAAACUCUCUUAAACAUGAUUCAACAUGUAAGAAAACAUUCAGCUGCUCUGAGUGUGGCAGAAGAUUUGGCUUCAAGUCACAUCUGAAGAGACACAUGAGAACUCACACAGGAGAGAAGCCUUUUAGCUGCUCAGUUUGUAAUACAUAUUUUACACAGAGUGAACAUUUACAGAAACACAUGAUGACUCAUUCUGGAGAAAAACCUUUCAGCUGCUCGGUUUGUAAGAAAUCUUUUACACGGAGAGAACAUUUACAGAAACACAUGGUAGUCCACACAAGAGAGAAAAGAUUCAGCUGCAGUGUUUGUAACUAAAGAUUUGCCUGGCGUUCUCUUUCCAAAAAAGACAUUUGUGUUGGUCCGAUGGAAACAGAAGCUGAUGGAGAGGACUGUGGAGGACCAGAACCAGACAGGAACUCACAUCCACAUCCACUUUUACAACCAGAGACUGAAGUCCAGACUGGAGACUCUUCUGAACCUGAGACUGGUGACGUGGAAUAACGUUUGUGCCUAUAAGUUAGUAAAGGCAUGUGUCAUAUCCACUGCGCCAUCACCACCCGUCACGUUGAAUCGGUGGGUGGGCAGUCGGACUCAAUGACCAAGGCCAGUAAGGCCACAUACCAUGUUGUGUGUUUGUGUUUUAUGUGAUUUACGCCUACCAUCCACUAGAAGACUCUGAACAGACUUUGAAAAGACUACAGUCUGACACCAUCUCAAAUCUAAUGUUAAAGACUGUCAUAACAUGUAAAGACUGGAGAUCGUCAGGGUCACACAUUGUAAGACUACAACUAGAUUCGUUUUGAAAAAUUUAACCAAGCUAGCUAGCUACCGCUAGCGUUAGCUAGUAACUUAAAGGACAAUUCCGGUGCUAAAUAGGAGGUGUUUCUCAAUGUCAAGGAAGGAUCCUUCGAAGCCAGAAUUCGGAGGAUGCUACGUCCAUCGAAGGACUGUUCCAAUGUCGAGGAUCCUCCGAAUCCGAGUCCUUCGUUCGGAGAAUUUCCCAUAGACGACAAAGGAUGCAUAUGUGUAUCCUUCGCGCUCCCAAAUCACCCACAAUCCUAUGCGCGCGGCUUUGCCAGCUCGUUUAAAAAAAUUAAAUGGCGGACCUAAGCAGGAGUUGGAGCGGCAUCGCUGACGGCGAAAUAAUCAUUUAAAUGGACAAACGGAGGCAGUCACUGAGGAUGGGAAAGCAAAAGACAAGCAGGGAGACAAGAGGCCAAAGAGAGAUGAAUAGCUAGAUUAUUUGCUAAAGCCUAUUAGAGAUUGGCAUUCUGAAAAUAAAUAUAUUAAAUGAA